rnacentral:rRNA from 1 species
CACAAAGGCAUGGUCCUGACCUUAUUAUCAGCUCUUACCCGACUUACACAUGCAAGUCUCCGCAAUCCCGUGAGUAUGCCCUCAAUCCCCUGCCCGGGGACGAGGAGCGGGCAUCAGGCACAAAUUUUAGCCCAAGACGCCUGGCCAAGCCACACCCCCAAGGGAAUUCAGCAGUGAUAAACAUUAAGCCAUAAGUGAAAACUUGACUCAGUCAAGGUAAAGAGGGCCGGUAAAACUCGUGCCAGCCACCGCGGUUAAACGAGAGGCCCUAGUUGAUAAAACCACGGCGUAAAGGGUGGUUAAGGAAAGCAAACAAAUUAAAGCCAAAUGGCCCUUUGGCCGUCAUACGCUUCUAGGUGUCCGAAGCCCAAUUAUACGAAAGUAGCUUUAUAAAGCCCACC